UUAGUUUGAUCCUGGCUCAGAUUGAACGCUGGCGGCAGGCCUAACACAUGCAAGUCGAGCGGUAGCACAGAGAGCUUGCUCUCGGGUGACGAGCGGCGGACGGGUGAGUAAUGUCUGGGAAACUGCCUGAUGGAGGGGGAUAACUACUGGAAACGGUAGCUAAUACCGCAUAACGUCGCAAGACCAAAGUGGGGGACCUUCGGGCCUCAUGCCAUCAGAUGUGCCCAGAUGGGAUUAGCUGGUAGGUGGGGUAACGGCUCACCUAGGCGACGAUCCCUAGCUGGUCUGAGAGGAUGACCAGCCACACUGGAACUGAGACACGGUCCAGACUCCUACGGGAGGCAGCAGUGGGGAAUAUUGCACAAUGGGCGCAAGCCUGAUGCAGCCAUGCCGCGUGUGUGAAGAAGGCCUUCGGGUUGUAAAGCACUUUCAGCGGGGAGGAAGGCGGUGAGGUUAAUAACCUCAUCGAUUGACGUUACCCGCAGAAGAAGCACCGGCUAACUCCGUGCCAGCAGCCGCGGUAAUACGGAGGGUGCAAGCGUUAAUCGGAAUUACUGGGCGUAAAGCGCACGCAGGCGGUCUGUCAAGUCGGAUGUGAAAUCCCCGGGCUCAACCUGGGAACUGCAUUCGAAACUGGCAGGCUAGAGUCUUGUAGAGGGGGGUAGAAUUCCAGGUGUAGCGGUGAAAUGCGUAGAGAUCUGGAGGAAUACCGGUGGCGAAGGCGGCCCCCUGGACAAAGAUUGACGCUCAGGUGCGAAAGCGUGGGGAGCAAACAGGAUUAGAUACCCUGGUAGUCCACGCUGUAAACGAUGUCGAUUUGGAGGUUGUGCCCUUGAGGCGUGGCUUCCGGAGCUAACGCGUUAAAUCGACCGCCUGGGGAGUACGGCCGCAAGGUUAAAACUCAAAUGAAUUGACGGGGGCCCGCACAAGCGGUGGAGCAUGUGGUUUAAUUCGAUGCAACGCGAAGAACCUUACCUGGUCUUGACAUCCACAGAACUUUCCAGAGAUGGAUUGGUGCCUUCGGGAACUGUGAGACAGGUGCUGCAUGGCUGUCGUCAGCUCGUGUUGUGAAAUGUUGGGUUAAGUCCCGCAACGAGCGCAACCCUUAUCCUUUGUUGCCAGCGGUUCGGCCGGGAACUCAAAGGAGACUGCCAGUGAUAAACUGGAGGAAGGUGGGGAUGACGUCAAGUCAUCAUGGCCCUUACGACCAGGGCUACACACGUGCUACAAUGGCAUAUACAAAGAGAAGCGACCUCGCGAGAGCAAGCGGACCUCAUAAAGUAUGUCGUAGUCCGGAUUGGAGUCUGCAACUCGACUCCAUGAAGUCGGAAUCGCUAGUAAUCGUAGAUCAGAAUGCUACGGUGAAUACGUUCCCGGGCCUUGUACACACCGCCCGUCACACCAUGGGAGUGGGUUGCAAAAGAAGUAGGUAGCUUAACCUUCGGGAGGGCGCUUACCACUUUGUGAUUCAUGACUGGGGUGAAGUCGUAACAAGGUAACCGUAGGGGAACCUGCGGCUGGAUCACCUCCUUA
rnacentral:rRNA from 1 species